CCUACGGGAGGCUGCAGUGGGGAAUCUUGGACAAUGGGGGCAACCCUGAUCCAGCAAUGCCGCGUGGGUGAAGAAGGCCUUCGGGUUGUAAAGCCCUUUCGAGAGAGGGGCGGUACCUGCAGAAGAAGCACCGGCUAACUACGUGCCAGCAGCCGCGGUAAUACGUAGGGUGCGAGCGUUAAUCGGAUUUACUGGGCGUAAAGCGUGCGCAGGCGGCCCGUUAAGACAGGUGUGAAAUCCCUGGGCUCAACCUAGGAAUUGCGCUUGUGACUGGCGGGCUCGAGUACGGUAGAGGGGGGUGGAAUUCCUGGUGUAGCAGUGAAAUGCGUAGAGAUCAGGAGGAACACCGAUGGCGAAGGCAGCCCCCUGGCCGUACUGACGCUCAUGCACGAAAGCGUGGGGAGCAAACAGGAUUAGAUACCCUAGUAGUC
rnacentral:rRNA from 1 species